rnacentral:rRNA from 1 species
AUUGAACGCUGGCGGCAGGCCUAACACAUGCAAGUCGAACGAGUGGCGGACGGGUGAGUAAUGUCUGGGAAACUGCCCGAUGGAGGGGGAUAACUACUGGAAACGGUAGCUAAUACCGCAUACCAUCGGAUGUGCCCAGAUGGGAUUAGCUAGUAGGUGGGGUAACGGCUUACCAAGGCGAUGAUGCAUAGCCGAGUUGAGAGACUGAUCGGCCACAUUGGGACUGAGACACGGCCCAAACUCCUACGGGAGGCAGCAGUGGGGAAUAUUGCACAAUGGGCGCAAGCCUGAUGCAGCCAUGCCGCGUGUAUGAAGAAGGCCUUCGGGUUGUAAAGUACUUUCAGCGAGGAGGCGUUACUCGCAGAAGAAGCACCGGCUAACUCCGUGCCAGCAGCCGCGGUAAUAC